rnacentral:rRNA from 1 species
GACGUAGGGCGCGAGCGUUGUCCGGAUUUAUUGGGCGUAAAGAGCUCGUAGGCGGUUCGUCGCGUCGGCUGUGAAAACCCGGAGCUCAACUCCGGGCCUGCAGUCGAUACGGGCGGACUUGAGUGUUGCAGGGGAGACUGGAAUUCCUGGUGUAGCGGUGAAAUGCGCAGAUAUCAGGAGGAACACCGGUGGCGAAGGCGGGUCUCUGGGCAACUGACUGACGCUGGAGGAGCGAAAGCGUGGGGAGCGAACGGGA